UAGUCUUGCAAGGGCAAUUUUGUCUCAUGAUCUCUUUCUGAGAUCGGUUUUAUUUUAACAGGGAUUUCAGUCUCCUGUGUAUUGAUGAUUUGGUUAAUUGUGUUGCUUAGUUGACCUUUAGGUUCUCCUAGGACUACUCCCUUAUUAGCAUCAUUGGUAAGAGGAAACUUACCUGCUUCCGGCGGGGUGUCGUCGAUCGAUGUUUGAUGAGCGGC
rnacentral:lncRNA from 1 species